AAUUCCGCCACUUUCAGUUGCUGGCUCGCAUUUACUUGGGGGAUCUUUAAUUAGAUAAGCCUCCACCGCCAAAUGCUCGCCAUCGUAAUAUUAUGCUGAUCUUGAUGAUGUGGCUCUGUUGAAAAGCGUUUUCCGACUGCUGCUCUUUAAUGCCGAAUCUGGUCGGUACUUACCAUCUUCCAUAUAAGCGUUAUCUAAUAGAGCCAGCCAGCCGACAGCGUAUCACUGCAGAUAUGCCCGUGGACUAGCGGGGGAUUGUCAUCCAGUUCCCCAUAAUACGCUAAUUCCGCUAAAACGCCACUCAUAAUUACCACCUACCCCCUAAUACAUAUCAUAUAGAGCCAGAACGUGCAUUUUUAUCAUGCAUGCUUCCAUCUCCUGGGUGGCGUUACCAUUACAUG
rnacentral:sRNA from 1 species